rnacentral:rRNA from 1 species
GACGAACGCUGGCGGCGUGCCUAAUACAUGCAAGUUGAGCGCUGAAGGUUGGUACUUGUACCAACUGGAUGAGCAGCGAACGGGUGAGUAACGCGUGGGGAAUCUGCCUUUGAGCGGGGGACAACAUUUGGAAACGAAUGCUAAUACCGCAUAAAAACUUUAAACACAAGUUUUAAGUUUGAAAGAUGCAAUUGCAUCACUCAAAGAUGAUCCCGCGUUGUAUUAGCUAGUUGGUGAGGUAAAGGCUCACCAAGGCGAUGAUACAUAGCCGACCUGAGAGGGUGGUCGGCCACACUGGGACGGAGACACGGCCCAAACGCCUACGGGAGGCAGCAGUAGGGAAUCGUCGGCAAUGGACGAAAGUCUGACCGAGCAACGCCGCGUGAGGGAAGAAGGGUUUCGGAUCGUAAAACUCUGUUGGUAGAGAAGAACGUUGGUGAGAGUGGAAAGCUCAUCAAGUGACGGUAACUACCCAGAAAGGGACGGCUAACUACGUG